UACGGGGGGGGCAAGCGUUGUUCGGAAUUACUGGGCGUAAAGGGCUCGUAGGUGGCCAACUAAGUCAGACGUGAAAUCCCUCGGCUUAACCGGGGAACUGCGUCUGAUACUGGAUGGCUUGAGUUUGGGAGAGGGACGCGGAAUUCCAGGUGUAGCGGUGAAAUGCGUAGAUAUCUGGAGGAACACCGGUGGCGAAGGCGGCGUCCUGGACCAACACUGACACUGAGGAGCGAAAGCUAGGGGAGCAAACGGG
rnacentral:rRNA from 1 species